UACGUAGGGGGCAAGCGUUAUCCGGAAUUAUUGGGCGUAAAGAGUACGUAGGUGGCAACCUAAGCGCAGGGUUUAAGGCAAUGGCUCAACCAUUGUUCGCCCUGCGAACUGGGAUGCUUGAGUGCAGGAGAGGAAAGCGGAAUUCCUAGUGUAGCGGUGAAAUGCGUAGAUAUUAGGAGGAACACCAGUGGCGAAGGCGGCUUUCUGGACUGUAACUGACACUGAGGUACGAAAGCGUGGGGAGCAAACAG
rnacentral:rRNA from 1 species